GGAGCAGGUCGGUCUGAUACUCAGUCUGAUUAUUUUGUUUUUCAUUCUCCAUACAACAAGCUUCUGCAGAAAAGUUUUGCACGGCUGUACUUCAAUGAUUUCUUGAGGAAUUCCAGGGCUCGACGAAUGGCUGUAUGGUUUAACAAGAAGAUAAUUAUGUCAUAUUUGCUGAAGUCUUUCAGCAGACUACAAAG